rnacentral:tRNA from 1 species
GCAGUAGCUCAGUUGGUUAGAGCAUGGUGUUGAUAACUCCAAGUUUACAGGUUUGAUCCCUGUAUGGGACAGCUGCA